GUGCAUAGCCAUACACUCUGAAUGGACCUGAUCUCAUCUGAUGUCAGAAGUUUAGAAGGGUCAGGCUGGUCAGUACUUGGUCGGGAGACGUUCAUUUUGAGAUGCCAGUGAGACACC
rnacentral:rRNA from 1 species